rnacentral:rRNA from 1 species
GACGAACGCUGGCGGCGUGCCUAAUACAUGCAAGUCGAGCGAAGUUUUUCUGGUGCUUGCACCGGAAAAACUUAGCGGCGAACGGGUGAGUAACACGUAAAGAACCUGCCUCACAGACUGGGACAACUAUUGGAAACGAUAGCUAAUACCGGAUAACAGCAUUAACUGCAUGGUUGAUGUUUAAAAGUUGGUUUUGCUAACACUAUGAGAUGGCUUUGCGGUGCAUUAGCUAGUUGGUGGGGUAAAGGCCUACCAAGGCGACGAUGCAUAGCCGACCUGAGAGGGUGAUCGGCCACACUGGGACUGAGACACGGCCCAGACUCCUACGGGAGGCAGCAGUAGGGAAUCUUCCGCAAUGGGCGAAAGCCUGACGGAGCAACGCCGCGUGAGUGAAGAAGGAUUUCGGUUCGUAAAGCUCUGUUGUUAGGGAAGAAUGAUUGUGUAGUAACUAUACACA